AAAACAUGUCUUUUUGAUAAAAAUUUAAAGUCAGGUCUGCUCACUGAAUUAUUUUAAAGAGCCGCAGUAUAUYGACUGUGCAAAGGUAGCAUAAUCAAUAGUUUCUUAAUUGGGAACUAGAAUGAAAGAUUAGACGAAAAAUUAAUUUUCUUUGUUUUAAUAAAUUUAAUUUUAAAUUUAAGUGAAAAUGCUUAAAUACAAUUAAAAGACGAGAAGACCCUAUAGAUUUUUAUUAUUGAAAUAAAUUUUUAAAUUUAAUUUAAUAAGAUAAUUUAAUUGGGGCGAUUUUAUAAUAUAAAUAACUUAAUUUUUUUAAACCAUAAAUAAUUGAAUAUUUGAUCUAAAAUUUUUAAAGAAAAGAUUAAAUUACCUUAGGGAUAACAGCGUAAUUUUAUUUAAGAGUUCAUAUCUAUAAUAAAGUUUGCGACCUCGAUGUUGAAUUAAGAUAAUAUAUUGGAGUAGAAAUUAAUAUAAUUAGUCUGUUCGACUAUUAAAUUCUUACGUGAUCUG
rnacentral:rRNA from 1 species